rnacentral:rRNA from 1 species
CCCUUAGAUGUCCUGGGCCGCACGCGUGCUACACUGAUGCAUACAGCGAGUACUUUCCAGCUCCGCGAGGCAGCUGGUAAUCAGCAAUACGCAUCGUGCUGGGGAUAGAUCUUUGGAAUUAUAGAUCUUGAACGAGGAAUUCCUAGUAAGCGCAAGUCAUUAGCUUGCGCUGAUUAAGUCCCUGCCCUUUGUACACACCGCCCGUCGCUCCUACCGAUUUCGAGUGAUUCGGUGAACCUUUUGGACAGCGUCUGUCCUCGUGUCAGAUGCUGAAAGUCAAGUAAACCAUAUCACUUAGAGGAAGGAGAAGUCGUAACA